AUGCCAAAGAGCCCAGAAACAUUGGAAGAGAAUGUUCAGGAAGCAGCCACCGUCGACAACAACCUGUCACAAGCCAAAGUAACAGAUGACGAAUGGGCAGUCAAGGAGAAUGCUUUCGCCUGCUCACCGGUUUUCGACGAUGCCGGAGACUGCCGUGGUCAGUGGUCAUGUUUUCCAAGCUUGUUUGAGGAUGCCACCAAGUCCCUAUCCACGGACUCCAUCACCGUGGAGGCAACAACGGUUCCUGAAGCUGCUGCUGCGAAGAAAGUUACUGAACCUGUGGCAGUGGAGCAAGAGAAUUGA
rnacentral:rRNA from 1 species